rnacentral:lncRNA from 1 species
AACGCCUGGCAAGGAUGCUGGAACGCAUAUGGUCCCACCGCAACUCUAUCGUUCCCUUUGGUCGUUAGUAUCCUUCAUCACUUGUUUCGUUGGAAGUGCGAGGUAGGAUGGUGCUUAUAGGCGAUCUGGCAGCCCUUGAGCCCCCGGCUCGUAUUAGGGUGGUUUGCAGGUACGGGGAACGCACCCACGACCAUGUAACAACAACAACAACAAUAACAUACAUACAUACAUACAUUUAGUCGGUUGUGCGGCUCAGUGACGCGCCUUAACCUAACAUGCACACACGCCGCGUAUAGAGGGACAUCUGCAACUUUUCACAUGCGCUGAAAUACCCACAGCAGUCUACCUGUGGUAACGAGCAUCAGAAAUCCCGCGUGUGAUAUUGUUCCUAGCGGCUGAAGGAAACGGCGGAGCUAGCGCUACCCCGCUUCAUACCUUUUGGAUCUCAUACUUAUUAACUAUCCUUACUAGGCUAACACAUUUUGACAUUGCUUCGAUUGCCUCUAGACCUAUGAACAAAUAACACCGUUUGAAGCCCUUCUAAUAGCCCGGUAGGGUGGUAGCGUGCGAGGCAGCAGAUUGUGAGGAGGGCUCGGCUCCCUUGGCAUCUCCCUGAGCGCUCUUGUCUAGUCUACACAGAUGAUUGUUUCAAUAAUGCGAUCAUGUUGAGAUGUGCAUGUGUCUAGUGUC